UACAGAGGUCCCAAGCGUUGUUCGGAUUCAUUGGGCGUAAAGGGUGCGUAGGUGGAUUGGUGAGUCAGUGGUGAAAUACUUUCGCUUAACGAAGGAACUGCCAUUGAUACUAUCAAUCUUGAAUGUAGUGGAGGUAGGCGGAAUGCGUCAUGUAGCGGUGAAAUGCUUAGAUAUGACGCAGAACACCAAUUGCGAAGGCAGCUUGCUACACUACUAUUGACACUGAGGCACGAAAGCGUGGGGAUCAAACAGG
rnacentral:rRNA from 1 species